AAAAUUUUAGUUUAAAAACAUUUCAGUUACAUUGAAAAAUACCAUUUUUUGGAAAUUUUA
rnacentral:tRNA from 1 species